UGGCGCACGGGUGAGUAACACGUGGGUAUCUACCUUUUUGUGGGGAAUAACUUGGGGAAACCCGAGCUAAUACCGCAUAAGCUCGAGAGAGGAAAGCCGAAAGGCGCAGAAAGAGGAGCCCGCGGCUGAUUAGCUAGUUGGUGAGGUAAUGGCUCACCAAGGCUUAGAUCGGUAGCCGGCCUGAGAGGGCACACGGCCACACUGGCACUGAAACACGGGCCAGACUCCUACGGGAGGCAGCAGUGGGGAAUCUUGCACAAUGGAGGAAACUCUGAUGCAGCGACGCCGCGUGAACGAUGAAGCCCUUCGGGGUGUAAAGUUCUUUCGCCAGGAACGAUAAUGACGGUACCUGGAGAAGAAGCUGCGGCUAACUACGUGCCAGCAGCCGCGGUAAUACGUAGGCAGCAAGCGUUGUUCGGAAUUAUUGGGCGUAAAGAGUAUGUAGGUGGUGUCGUAAGUUUGGUGUGAAAUCUCCUGGCUUAACUGGGAGGGUGCGCCGAAGAC
rnacentral:rRNA from 1 species